AUUGAACGCUGGCGGCAGGCCUAACACAUGCAAGUCGAACGGAAGAAGAGUGCUUGCUUGUGGUUUCAGCGGGGGACGGGUGGGUGAUGCCGGGGAAUAUCCCUGGCUGUGGUUUCGAACGUCUGGAAGCGGGCGCUAAUACGGCAUAAGUGCAGAGGGAGCACGGGGGGGAGCUUCGGACCUCACGCUCUCAGGUGAGCGUAUGUGGGGUUGGCUGGUUAGUGGGGUAACGGGCUACCAAGGCGACGAUCCGUGACUGGUCUGAGAGGAUGAUCGGUCACACUGGAACUGAGACACGGUCCAGACUCCUACGGGAGGCAGCAGUGGGGAAUAUUAGACAAAGGGCGAAAGCCUGAUCCAGCCAUGCCGCGUGUGUGAAGAAGGCCUUCGGAUUGUAAAGCACUUUUAUUUGGGAGGAAGAGCAGUAGGUUAAUACCUUGCUGUUUUGACGGUACCAACAGAAUAAGCACCGGCUAACUUCGUG
rnacentral:rRNA from 1 species